UGCCAUCAGCAGUGGCUGCCACGUGUCGAGGAUUCUGAGCCACGUCUAGGCGCCACGAUUAAUAGCAAAGUGAAAGCGCAGAAGUUCUCUGUCUUGUGGCUCCUGUGUGCCCAGGACCCAGGCCACCACCUACCGCGCAGGCUGAACCGCGAGCUGAUUGGUCGACCACCUGGUGAGGACAGCAGAUGAGCAUGGCGGCCCUAAUGACCCCAAUAAUCCUGAUGACCCCAGACCUCGAUUGGCAUUUCUCAGAGCGCACUGAGGUCUGCCAGGUUGAGUGGCAUACACCCAGGUGAGCCACAGGAGAAGGGAGGAGGGCCCAGGACUGGGACCUUCCUGGAUGUGGUCACUCUGCCAUCGACCAGCCUCCGGAGAACCUUGUCAGGUGUCUAUUGAUUUUCGACAGCGUGGAGACAAUGUGUUAGGCACUGGGGACACCAGGGUGAAGCCGACAGACACUAGCCCUCCACUCCAAGGGGUGAGAAACUCGCUGAACCCAGGAAAUGUCCAGACCCUCACCCACCCCCACCAGAGCCAACCCACAUUGUCUUCCCCGGCACACCAGAGGUCAGAGGUCAUCAGGAGGAGGCUGGUAAGAUGGGGAGCCCAGGGCAGUGGGGGGGCAGCCUGGGAGAGGGAGGCACCUAGGGCUGAAGGUGCCCAGACCCGAGGGCAAGCCCCUCCUCACACUGCACCAGGGCACCCUGCUCAGUGUGGACGGCAGAGACUUUCCCUAUGGCUCUGCCGCCUCUCCACCCACCUGGGGGCGACAGUCACCUGUCAGACGUCCUUAUGUUCAUCCACAAGACGGAGGAGCUGUGGCCUUCCUCCCAGGGUCCCCGUGUUGGGUUCCCUUUUCCUUCCUUAGGGAGCCCAGGCGGCAAUGGAGAAGAAAAAACAGAUUGGAAUCAUUUUCUCAUUUUACAGAUGGGGAAACUGAGGCACAGAGAGGUUAAGUAUUGACCCAGAGGUGCACAGCCUGGAAAUGGCACAGCUGGGCCAGAAAACGUGGCCAAAGCUGAGUAUGAGGCUGUGCCAGGCGGAAGGGGAGAGCCGCGGCAUCGUGGGGCCCCGUCGACGAGGCCACGGCUCCUACAGCAGUCUAGGCUUUAAACACAGAGGGUGCAGGAUUACUCAGCUGUGGGGAGGCCAACAGAGCAGGACAGGACAGUCACACAGUGCCAGAGGGGCCACCCAGAAGGCACCAGGGUGGGUCUGGAGGUGGCAGGGGUGGGGGAGAGGAUGGAGCGGGUUACUGUGGCUUCCCCAGGCAGGAUCAGGCCAGCACGGCCCGUGAGCUGAGCUGCGUGGGACUGGCUGUUGGAACAACUUCGGCUGCUCGGGGAAUGGGGACUGCCCCUGGCUGGCUGGGUGCUGGCUCCGGGGACUGGGGCAGGGGUGACUCGUGAGAGCUCAGUUGGGAGGAGGACGGGCCUUCACUCUGGCUGGGUGGUGGCAUGGGGAAGGACACUCACUGCUGGGGGCCAGCCAGCCCCGGAGGCCAGCCCCAGAGGCCAGCCUCUCCCCAGCCAGCGAGGCCCCCACACUGCCGCAGCACCCCGGAUACAGAGGACGAUAAACUGCAGUUGGCAGACAUUUCUGAAAUGAGAAACCCCCUGCUCCUCUGGGUGUUUGACAAGGAGCGAGGAAGAAUGUUCCGCCGCCAAGCCCCCUCUGGCUCCCAGGCAGUAACUGGGGACGGGAGGAGGCCGGCAGCCUGCAGAGGCAGCCAGGGAUAUGGAGGCACACAGGGCCCGAGGCUGGUGGGCCCGGGGCUGGUGGCUCUAGCUGGUCCCAGCUCUGCCCUCCACUCCCAGGGUGACCCUGCAAGCCACCCUCUGCCCCCGGACCUCGCGCUCAGCAUGGCCCCAGGGUCACGGUGCUGGAGCACGGAGCCGGGCAGCCUGGGUUGGAUUCUCCCUCUGCUACUUACCAGCUGGGUAACUUGAACAAGCCACUCUACGUCUCUGUGCCCCAGUUUUCUCGUGCAAAAACGGGGACAGUGACAGUCUCCGUCUCACAGGUCUUCACAAGCCAAUGCACCCAAGGUGUGUGGGCGUGGGACAGAAGGCCCUUGCAGAGGCUCACACGUGCUGGUGGCUGUGGUCACUGGCUGGGCCAAUGGCAGGGUGUGGGUGAGAAGGAAUCUGGUGACAGGCACGAGGUGACAUCUUAUUAUUGUCUGUAUUCUGGGUGCUGGGGCAGUGGGGGGGACCUCCCAGGGCUGGUAGUCCCCAGAUGUGACUGUCCUUCCAUGUGCUCACCAUUACCAUGGCUUGGUGACAGUGAUGAGUGGUCCUGUCCCUCCCUCUGUGUCCACGACAUUGGUGACCAGUGGACGCUGCUGUCUUUCCUAUAAGAAGGAAAGAUGGGCAGAGGCCAGGAGGCCGGGCGGGAGGAGGCCGGGCGGGGAGGCUCACAGAGCAGCUCCUGUCCCUGCCGGCGGCACCCUCCCGGGGCCAGAAGGCCCUGGGCCCCUCAGUGGCCUGUCCCUCCUUGCCUUUCUUCCCUCCCCCUCUUCAUUUUCUUCCCUUGGGCUAUUUUUGCUGCGUCUGUUUGCAAAAUCUUAAUAUUCUCAAUUAAAAAAAAAUACAGGCGACUCAGCAGAGAUGAAGAAAAGCUUUCCCUUGAGUUUUGUCCCCAGAAAACAAGGGACCCAGCCGACCCCUCCCCCCCACUGCCCAGACAGGCCCCAGGUGAACCCCCAUGGCCCUCUGCAGCUCUGGGUGGGGACUCGGUGCCAGUGGGCGUGGACGCACAGGGUCCCCUUGGAGGCUCUCGUCCAGCUGUGGUGGGCCGGUGGGGGUCCCCCCCCUGCACCCCUGUUUCCCCUACUGUAAACCCAUGGUCUGCGCGUCCACCUCUGCCCAGGGCUGGGGACUGCCCUGGGUCCUUUGCCGGGGUCACUCGUUCAUCGACAGAACUACUGAGCGGCUGCUGUAGAAGCCGAGCACUGUCCCCGACGCUGGGUCACACGUGGGGAAGGUGGGGGACAGUAGGCAGCAGGCCACCAACGCGGAGAACUCUACAGGACAGCGUUGACACGAGUGGACAGUGUGUCCCCAGGAAGCUGGCGCCCACCUGCCUGAGUCCCACCAGGGGAAGGGGACACUGCUCCCGACUCCUGGCCCAGAGUGUCCUUCUCCUCGUUGUUCUGAUGCCAAGAAGGAAAAGAUCAUUGCUGACUUAGUUGAUGGCUGACCGUUACUGAGGGCUUCACGUCCCUCCUGAGGGUCAGCUACGCACAACGUUUAAGGCCAUUGUCUGCUGAGCACUGAGCAGGAGACGCCGCUGCGAGAACCAGGUGAUGUCGGUUGGCACCCAAAGACCCUCCAAGUCUGAAACGCUGCCGCAGUCCGGCUGCAGCAGAAUAACCGGGGGGUGACGAAUAACUUGUGUCCGUUGAUGCAGCAGGAAUGGGAGCCGUUUAUUG